rnacentral:lncRNA from 1 species
UGGCUCUUGAUGGUUAAAUCAAGCAAGGGCUAGAGCACCAGGCUCUGAUACUAUUUGUUGCCCAGAUAUGAAGCCCAAGAGGGGGGGGGGUAAAUUAGAUCUUUUUUAAAAUUUUAAAGAUUAAUACACUAAAACAAUGUGCUAAAGUAUUUGAGUAGAGUGGGUUGAUUUUCAAUAAAAAUAAAUUCAAACACAAAAGAUAGAAAUGCAAG